GUGCACACUGCCCCUUUGGGCACUGUGUGCUGCCUUGGGCGGUGUGCCACCUUGGGUGGUGUGUUGCCUUACGUGGUGUUCCUCGUUUCUUGGGUGACUUACCAUCAUCAUUUAGGCGGUGUGCCUCUAUUUUUUGCACUGCUGUCACAUCACGUCAUCUGUCCGUCAAUCACAUCCGUCACUCAUCACAUCACUUCUUUUCC
rnacentral:lncRNA from 1 species